AUGUUUCAUGUUAACAUGCUUAGAAAAAUAAUAUUAUCUCACAUCAAUGUCCCGCAGCAACGCGCGGGGCAUCAUCUAGUUAUUGAUAGAAAGGGAGCUAAGAACCCCAUUGCAGACAACUUGUCUAGGUUAGAAAAUGUCCUUGAUGACCCACUGCCUAUUGAUGAUAGCUUUCCUGAUCAACAAUUAGUUGUCUUAAAUGCUUCUCGUACUGCUCCAUGGUAUGUUGAUUAUGCUAAUUACAUUGUUGCUAAAUUUAUACCACCUAGUUUCACAUACCAGCAAAAGAAAAAGUUUUUCUAUGAUUUAAGACAUUACUUUUGGGACGACCCACACCUUUAUAAAGAAGGGGUAGAUGGUGUUAUUAGACGUUGUGUACCGGAGCAUGAACAGGAACAGAUGCUAUGCAAGUGUCACUCUGAGGCUUACAGAGGACACCACGCUGGAGAUAGAACUGCACAUAAGGUAUUGCAAUCCGGUUUUUAUUGGCCUACUCUUUUCAAAGAUGCCUGUAAGUUUGUCUUGUCUUGUGAUGAAUGCCAAGGAAUUGGUAAUAUUAGUAGACGUCAAGAAAUGCCUAUGAAUUAUUCACUUGCUAUUGAACCAUUUGAUGUUGGGGCUUUGAUUAUAUGGGACAUUUUCCUUCCUCUAAUGGGUACACACAUAUUUUAG
rnacentral:rRNA from 1 species